UCGGAUAUGGUGUAACGGUCAACAUUGCCGCCUCUCACGAGUUACGCGGCAGCUCGGGGUUCGAUUCCCCGUAUCCGAA
rnacentral:tRNA from 1 species